GACAGAGGAUGCAAGCGUUAUCCGGAAUGAUUGGGCGUAAAGCGUCUGUAGGUGGCUUUUUAAGUCCGCCGUCAAAUCCCAGGGCUCAACCCUGGACAGGCGGUGGAAACUACCAAGCUGGAGUACGGUAGGGGCAGAGGGAAUUUCCGGUGGAGCGGUGAACUGCGUAGAGAUCGGGAAGAACGCCAAGGGCGAAGGCACUCUGCUAGGCCUGAUUUCGCGACUGACACUCAGGGACGAGAGCCAGGGGAGCGAAUGGG
rnacentral:rRNA from 1 species